rnacentral:rRNA from 1 species
CCUACGGGCGGCAGCAGUGGGGAAUAUUGGACAAUGGGCGAAAGCCCGAUCCAGCCAUGCCGCGUGUGUGAAGAAGGCCUUCGGGUUGUAAAGCACUUUCAGUGGGGAAGAAAGCCUUGGGGCUAAUACCCUCGAGGAAGGACAUCACCCACAGAAGAAGCACCGGCUAACUCCGUGCCAGCAGCCGCGGUAAUACGGAGGGUGCGAGCGUUAAUCGGAAUUACUGGGCGUAAAGCGCGCGUAGGCGGUCUGAUAAGCCGGUUGUGAAAGCCCCGGGCUCAACCUGGGAACGGCAUCCGGAACUGUCAGGCUAGAGUGCAGGAGAGGAAGGUAGAAUUCCCGGUGUAGCGGUGAAAUGCGUAGAGAUCGGGAGGAAUACCAGUGGCGAAGGCGGCCUUCUGGACUGACACUGACGCUGAGGUGCGAAAGCGUGGGUAGCAAACAGGAUUAGAUACCCCUGUAGUC